rnacentral:rRNA from 1 species
AGUGGCAGACGGGUGAGUAACAUGUAGGUCUCAGCCCUUUGGCCUGGAAUAACACGAGGAAACUUGUGCUAAUACCGGAUAAGUCUUUACGGAGAAAGCUUUAUGCACCAUUGGAUGAGCCUGCACUUGAUUAGUUUGUUGGUGGGGUAAUGGCCUACCAAGACUGUGAUCAAUAGCUGAUUUGAGAGGAUGAUCAGCCACAUUGGGACUGAGACACGGCCCAAACUCCUACGGGAGGCAGCAGUGGGGAAUCUUGCACAAUGGAGGAAACUCUGAUGCAGCGAUGCCGCGUGAGUGAAGAAGGCCUUUGGGUUGUAAAGCUCUUUCGUCGGGGAAGAAAAUGACUGUACCAGAAUAAGAAGGUCCGGCUAACUUCGUGCCAGCAGCCGCGGUAAUACGAAGGGACCUAGCGUAGUUCGGAAUUACUGGGCUUAAAGAGUUCGUAGGUGGUUGAAAAAGUUGGUGGUGAAAUCCCAGAGCUUAACUCUGGAACUGCCAUCAAAACUUUUCAGCUAGAGUAUGAUAGAGGAAAGCAGAAUUUCUAGUGUAGAGGUGAAAUUCGUAGAUAUUAGAAAGAAUACCAAUUGCGAAGGCAGCUUUCUGGAUCAUUACUGACACUGAGGAACGAAAGCAUGGGUAGCGAAGAGGAUUAGAUACCCUCGUAGUCCAUGCCGUAAACGAUGUGUGUUAGACGUUGGAAAUUUAUUUUCAGUGUCGCAGCGAAAGCGAUAAACACACCGCCUGGGGAGUAC